CGCGUAGGUGGUUAAUUAAGUCAGAUGUGAAAGCCCAGGGCUCAACCCUGGAACUGCAUUUGAAACUGGUUAACUAGAGUUUUGUAGAGGGUGGUAGAAUUUCAGGUGUAGCGGUGAAAUGCGUAGAGAUCUGAAGGAAUACCAGUGGCGAAGGCGGCCACCUGGACAGAGACUGACACUGAGGCGCGAAGGCGUGGGGAGCAAACG
rnacentral:rRNA from 1 species